ACAUUAUAAUUUCACUGCAGGAUACAUAAAGAAGAAAACCGAGAAGGAGCAAAGCAUUUAUUACAAAUGUCUUAAUAAUGAACAAAUGUGGCAGGAAAAAAUAUAUUAAGACAAAUCUAAGACAAAUGACCAUGGAAACAAUUGAAUCUCAACAGGAUGGAAGUGUAACAGAUUCUGUGACAGAGAGAGAAACUGCAAAUAUGCAGGCCCAGACUGGUCAAAAUUCAAUCCCUAAUUUAGCUCAGGCCCACUGCAUGUGAAAUUUGCAUAUGUACUGUGACAUCAUAAACCCCAUUGCAAGAGAACCUAGCUACGGAUUGAAGGCAUCCUAUAGAAGAGGAUUAUUCAGGGGAGCUGGAAAGAAAGGUAAAUUAUGUCAACUGUGGGUUCUUUCUGCA